AGGGAGCUCUGUAUGACGGAGCUCUGCAUGUACAGUGCAGGGAGCUCUGUAUGUAUAGUGCAGGGAGCUCUGUUUGAUGCUGCUCUGUAUGUAUAGUGUAGGGAGCUCUGUAUGUUGGAGCUCUGUAUGUAUAGUGCAGGGAGCUCUGUAUGAUGGAGCUCUGUAUGUAUAGUGUAGGGAGCUCUGUAUGAUGGAGCUCUGUAUGUAUAGUGCAGGGAGCUUUGUAUAAUGGAGCUCUGUAUGUAUAGUGCAGGGAGCUCUGUAUG